UACGAAGGGGGCUAGCGUUGCUCGGAAUUACUGGGCGUAAAGGGCUCGUAGGCGGCCAACUAAGUCGGACGUGAAAUCCCUCAGCUUAACUGGGGAACUGCGUCUGAUACUGGAUGGCUUGGAUUUGGGAGAGGGAUGCGGAAUUCCAGGUGUAGCGGUGAAAUGCGUAGAUAUCUGGAGGAACACCGGUGGCGAAGGCGGCAUCCUGGACCAACAUUGACGCUGAGGAGCGAAAGCCAGGGGAGCAAACGGG
rnacentral:rRNA from 1 species